rnacentral:rRNA from 1 species
CCUACGGGUGGCAGCAGUGAGGAAUAUUGGUCAAUGGGCGGAAGCCUGAACCAGCCAAGUAGCGUGAAGGAUGACGGCUCUAUGAGUUGUAAACUGCUUUUAUAAAGGGAUAAAGCUGGGUACGUGUAUUUUGCUGAAAGUACUGUACGAAUAAGGAUCGGCUAACUCCGUGCCAGCAGCCGCGGUAAUACGGAGGGGCCAAGCGUUAUCCGGAAUGAUUGGGGUUAAAGGGUGCGUAGGUGGAUUAGUAAGUUAGCGGUGAAAUGCCCGGGCGUAACUCCGGAGCUGCCUCUAAGACUGUUGGACUAGAGUGUAGGAGCGGUAAGUGGAAUUUCUGGUGUAGCGGUGAAAUGCGUAGAUAUUAGACAGAACACCAGUGGCGAAGGCGGCUUAC